GUACUUUUGUGGUUCAUAAAUGUGAUUGGGUUUUCACGCUCAUGUGUGACAUGCCCCUUCCUCCAACCUUGUUACAAUGUUGGUGCAUUACCCAUUACCCAUCUGACA